GGCUUGGUGGCGGAUGGUCCGCAUCUGUGUGAACUGACCGUGUUCUUUGUUUCUCAGCAGAAGCUGCUCGUUCGAAUCGGGCCUGAGCCU